rfam:Loxodonta africana unplaced genomic scaffold scaffold_5, whole genome shotgun sequence.
AGCCCUGUGGCUCAAUGGUUAAGCUUUUGGCUGCUGACCAAAAGGUUGGCAGUUCAAAUCUACCAACUGCUC